GUCAGGGGCGCGCUCGGGGCCCGAGCGAGCGAGGCGCACCGGGCAGGAGCUCGCGCCCACGGGCUUCGGUCCUAGGCGCCCGCGUAGGUUCUUGUUGGAAGGGGCGCGCUCAGGGAAUUGGCCGGGCAGAAGUAAGGCGAUCAUGCUCUGGGCCAGCGCCGCCAGCAAGGACCUUGGCGGCCAGGGAGGCGGCCUGAGGUCCCGCCCUUCCUCCCGCGCGAGGGCUUGGCAGCGCUUGGAGGCUCUGGGCGGGUCAACCCGCCGCCCUGGACGCCGGGCCGCAGCAGCUGGGCGCUGGUGAACACCUGUUUUCCUCAAAGUGGCUCCAUCAGGUGAAGAUGCUGGGAGCUAAUGGAAAAAAACAAACUGGGAAACCACUGGACCAAGAGUUCGGCAUCCCUGGGUCUUUGGGCUCCGCUACUGAAACCGGAUUGAGGAAUUAUACCUCUGGUCUGAGUUUCUUCAAAGCUCAUAGGAGGGAUUUACACUCUGUGGUCUGCAUUCUGUGACUGAUCAUUUCGUGUCUCAUUCAGCCAAUUGAAUUAAAGCGUCCGAUAUACUCUA